UUGUAGGCUAGUUCCACUGCAGUACAUAUAAUGCAAGUAAUAUGUAAAUGGAUCCAUUGAAUCCUAAGUAGAGAGUAACUUGAGCUUGAAUCCUAAGUGGAGAGAGAGGAGGGGGAGAGAGAGAGAUAACUGACUCCAUGGUGAGCGGAGGCGCGGGAUUGACGGCAUAUGGGCAUGGGCGGUUCUGGACCAGGCGGCGGUUUCGCAUCGACGGCAAGGAGAAGAUUGCGGAGAUCGACGGCGGAAAGAAGAUUAUGGAGAUCGACGGCGUGGCUCGGAGCGGGGCGGCGGUUCUGGAAUGACGGCGGGGAGAAGAAGCGGGGUUCGACGGCGUGGCUCCGGGUGGGGGCGGAGGUUCUGUUUUGCGUUGAUAAAAGAGUUCUGAAUCUUCUGAUGUUGGAGAAAAAGCAGUUAUGGCAUGAUUAGU
rnacentral:lncRNA from 1 species